GGCCAAUGGGCAUAAUUUUCCGUUUCACAUGGCCACUCUGGUGGCCUUAAUUUAGCUAAUGAAAUUGACACCUUUCUUUUCUCUAUAUAUGCCCACACUAACUUCUUCCUUCCCAUUCCUUCUAUACUCAAAACAACCACCUUGGCUCAUUUGCUCUCCUCCUCAAUUCUCACCAAUCACUACCUUCAACAAUGGAAGUAAAAGAACACGACCCUUUUCUCUCUUCUCCUCCUCUCUCCUCCUCCAGGUAAGCAAAGCCAAAACCAAACACAAUAUACAUCAAAAUUUUGAUUUUUUUUUCUUUUUUCUGGGUGUAACCAUUUUGCAAACAGAUGGUGGUCUAAGGAAACUGUUGCAAUAGUCACCGGAGCAAACAAGGGGAUUGGGUUCUCGCUGGUGAAACGACUUGCAGAGUCUGGACUCACUGUGAUCUUAACAGCUAGAGAUGUAGAGAGAGGGUACAAAGCUAUCGAGCAGCUUAGAAAUGAGCAUGGUGAUGGUGAUGAUCUCCAUCUACACUUCUAUCGUCUUGACGUUUCGGAUCCUGCUUCCAUUAAAGCCUUCGUUUCGCAGUUUGAGAAGGAUUUUGGAGUCUUGGAUAUUCUCGUGAACAAUGCUGCGGUAUCUUUCAAUGAGAUACAUGAGAACUCUGUGGAGCAUGCAGAGACUGUCGUCAAAACCAAUUUCUAUGGACCCAAGUUGCUGAUAGAGGCACUCUUGCCCAUGUUUCGUCAAUCAACUUCUGCCUGCAGCCGUAUCCUUAAUAUUACCUCAAGACUUGGCUCCAUCAAUAAGAUGAGAAACCCUAAAAUGAAAGAGAUGCUGCUAAGCGAAAACUUAUCAGAAGAGCAGAUUGUAGGGAUGGUAAAUUUGUUUAUUGAAAAUGUGAAGAAAGGAACAUGGAAGAGCCAAGGAUGGCCAGAGAUAUGGACAGAUUAUGCAGUAUCAAAGCUAGCUUUGAAUGUAUAUUCUAGGGUUUUGGCUACGAGGUAUAAGGAUUGUGGAUUACGUGUAAACUGUUUCUGCCCUGGCUUCACUCAGACGUCUAUGACCAGAGGUAAAGGCACUCACACUGCCGCUGAUGCCGCUGAAGUUGGUGCUAGGCUGGCCUUGCUUCCGCCGCACCAGCUACCCACUGGCAAGUUUUAUAUAGGGUUUAGCCCUGGCAUUGUUUCUAAAUUAUAAGAAUAUGAAUGAUCAUUCAUUAAUUCUAGUCAGAUAAUGGGAAUAUAAUAUAAUAUAUUAUUGCCAUGAUUAUAUAAAAUGGCAAUUAAUUAUAAUCACAGCGAAUCAUGGGUUAAUUUAAUUGGUUUUUCUCUACUUUAUGACAUUCAGUCUCCUUAUUUACCUAUUAUGAUAUUUUUUUUUCUUAACGUGC
rnacentral:misc_RNA from 1 species